GAUAAACGCUGGCGGCGUGCCUAAUACUUGCAAGUCGAGCGAACAGACGAGGAGCUUGCUCCUCUGAUGUUAGCGGCGGACGGGUGAGUAACACGUGGAUAACCUACCUAUAAGACUGGGAUAACUUCGGGAAACCGGAGCUAAUACCGGAUAACAUGUUGAACCGCAUGGUUCAACCGCGCAAGACGGUCUUGCUGUCACUUAUAGAUGGAUCCGCGCCGCAUUAGCUAGUUGGUAAGGUAACGGCUUACCAAGGCAACGAUGCGUAGCCGACCUGAGAGGGUGAUCGGCCACACUGGAACUGAGACACGGUCCAGACUCCUACGGGAGGCAGCAGUAGGGAAUCUUCCGCAAUGGGCGAAAGCCUGACGGAGCAACGCCGCGUGAGUGAAGAAGGUCUUCGGAUCGUAAAACUCUGUUAUUAGGGAAGAACAAAUGUGUAAGUAACUAUGCACGUCUUGACGGUACCUAAUCAGAAAGCCACGGCUAACUACGUG
rnacentral:rRNA from 1 species